rnacentral:lncRNA from 1 species
CAGGUGACAAGCAGUGUUUUCAUAACGCACCACCCGAUGCAGCCCAAGGUUGCUUUGUAAGCAGAUAUUCUGACAUCAACUGUCCUAACGCGGGACUUUGGCCAUACGUCUUUACAGUGCUCUAUUUCGUUCAUUUGAAGCUAUUUUUGCUAAAUGCGCUGUUUGCUGUAUUCAGUAACACAUUGGCAGACGUGGAUCCGGUGUCUGACAUGAUAUGGAAAUUUCAGCGCUAUGAACUUGUUAUGGACUUUGCAAUGCGGCGGUGCCUGCCUCCACCGCUGAAUGCAAUCACAUUUGUGUGGCUCCUCCUGUCCGGUCUCUUCAGCCUGUGCACCCUUGUAUUCAAGAAGAAAUGCGUACGUCAAUGCUAAUGAUAAAGUAGCGUUUUAGAAUUAACUUCUUCCAUUUUCAGCUCGUGCGAGCAGGCGUAUUACUUUCCUAUUACUACCGGGUGACAAAAUUUCACCGCGCAUAAAGCACUUAAUUAUAAAUAAUAGAUUGUAACUCGCUGCAUGAACGCAAGGUGCGAUUGUGUUUUUUAGGCGUAUUGUUGGAAUCUGACUGAACAUUUGUUUAGAUAGAACAAAUUGAGAACGAGGGACAUGUCGCUGCAAAAAACUACCAACUAGGUGACUUGCGGCGUAUCUUUCAUUUUCGCAUCGUCUUUUCUGAAGUACUAGCUGUGUAAUUCAUUUACAGUAAGGUACCAACCUGUUACAGCCUAGUAGAACCAGCCUCCCCACUACUGCGUGAAUUUUCAACGAAAAACCUGAAGUCCUUAAAUAAUAAUAAUAAUUAUUAAGGUUUUAUGCUCCGAAAGCACAAUAUUAUUAUGAAGCACGCUGUAGACGAGAGCUCCUGAAAUUCCGGCUACCUGGUGUUCUUCAAAGUUUGCUGAAAUCGCACAAUACACGGGUCUGUUGGCAAUGUAUGCGCAGUGCCUAAUAAAU